rnacentral:rRNA from 1 species
AGCAGUAGCCGCGGGAAUACGAAGGGGGCUAGCGUUGUUCGGAAUUACUGGGCGUAAAGCGCGCGUAGGCGGUUACUCAAGUCAGAGGUGAAAGCCCGGGGCUCAACCCCGGAACUGCCUUUGAAACUAGGUGACUAGAAUCUUGGAGAGGUCAGUGGAAUUCCGAGUGUAGAGGUGAAAUUCGUAGAUAUUCGGAAGAACACCAGUGGCGAAGGCGACUGACUGGACAAGUAUUGACGCUGAGGUGCGAAAGCGUGGGGAGCAAACAGGAUUAGAUACCCCUGUAGUCCCUGUCUCUUAUAC